rnacentral:rRNA from 1 species
UACGUAGGGUGCAAGCGUUGUCCGGAAUCAUUGGGCGUAAAGAGCGUGUAGGCGGCUCGAUUAGUCCGCUGUAAAAGUCCAGGGCUCAACCCUGGGAUGCCGGUGGAAACUGUCGGGCUAGAGUCCGGGAGAGGCGAGUGGAAUUCCUGGUGUAGCGGUGAAAUGCGCAGAUAUCAGGAGGAACACCGGUGGCGAAGGCGGGUCUCUGGGCCGUAACUGACGCUGAGGAGCGAAAGCAUGGGGAGCGAACAGG